rnacentral:rRNA from 1 species
GAACGAAGUAGCAAUACUUAGUGGCAGACGGGUGAGUAACAUGUGGGUAUCUGCCCUUUGGCCUGGAAUAACACGAGGAAACUUGUGCUAAUACCGGAUAAGUCUUUACGGAGAAAGCUUUAUGCACCAUUGGAUGAGCCCGCACUUGAUUAGUUUGUUGGUGGGGUAAUGGCCUACCAAGACUGUGAUCAAUAGCUGAUUUGAGAGGAUGAUCAGCCACAUUGGGACUGAGACACGGCCCAAACUCCUACGGGAGGCAGCAGUGGGGAAUCUUGCACAAUGGAGGAAACUCUGAUGCAGCGAUGCCGCGUGAGUGAAGAAGGCCUUUGGGUUGUAAAGCUCUUUCGUCGGGGAAGAAAAUGACUGUACCCGAAUAAGAAGGUCCGGCUAACUUCGUGCCAGCAGCCGCGGUAAUACGAAGGGACCUAGCGUAGUUCGGAAUUACUGGGCUUAAAGAGUUCGUAGGUGGUUGAAAAAGUUGGUGGUGAAAUCCCAGAGCUUAACUCUGGAACUGCCAUCAAAACUUUUCAGCUAGAGUUUGAUAGAGGAAAGCAGAAUUUCUAGUGUAGAGGUGAAAUUCGUAGAUAUUAGAAAGAAUACCAAUUGCGAAGGCAGCUUUCUGGAUCAUUACUGACACUGAGGAACGAAAGCAUGGGUAGCGAAGAGGAUU